AAAAGAAACAUCAUUUCCUAAAAUAUCUAAAAAAAACCCAUGUUUUCUCAAUACCCACUGGUCCUAAAACGUUACAUAUUCUGAUCAUCAAGAACGACACGACUCUCUUUUUCAUCUCGAUCAACAGCAGAUUCUACCUAGGAUUUUCAAGAUCUUCCUCAAAGUCUUUUAUCCAUCAGCAACGUUGUCUCUAUUUGCUUCUCUCUACUACAAAAUUCUGGUUUUGUUGAUCUUUCAUGAUAUCACUUGACAAAGACUGAAGUUUUAAAGUUUUCUGCUAGAGUUUUGUUCAUUCUUCAGUGGAUAGAUGCAAGUUUAGAAUGUUUGCUACGAAUAUUUUGCAAAACUUUUAUGUUAUCAAAUAUUUUUUGUUAUGCAAAUAUCAUGAGAUAAUCAAUCACAGUCUUAUUUCAUUCUACUUUUCACUAGCUAUAUGAUACUUUUGUUUCCAUA